rnacentral:misc_RNA from 1 species
GUAGGUGAACCUGCGGAAGGAUCAUUACCGAACUGUCGACACGAGUUGUUGCUGGUCCUCAAACGGGGGCAUGUGCACGCUCUGUUCACACAUCCACUCACACCUGUGCACCCUCUGUAGUUCUGUGGCCUCGGGACUCUGUCCCCUUGCCGUGGUCCUACGUCUUUACACACACACUGUAAUGAAGUCUUAUGGAAUGUAUGUCGCGUCUAACGCAAUACAAUACAACUUUCAGCAACGGAUCUCUUGG